UACGGGGGGUGCGAGCGUUGUCCGGAAUCACUGGGCGUAAAGGGCGCGUAGGUGGUUUGAUAAGGGUGUGGUGAAAGUCCGGGGCUCAACCCCGGAUCUGCCGUGCCGACUGUCAAACUCGAGGGCUGUAGAGGCAGGCGGAAUUCCGGGUGUAGCGGUGGAAUGCGUAGAGAUCCGGAAGAACACCGGUGGCGAAGGCGGCCUGCUGGGCAGUAGCUGACACUGAGGCGCGACAGCGUGGGGAGCAAACAGG
rnacentral:rRNA from 1 species